UUGUUUAUGAACCUAUAGAAUGAGAAAAUUACACUUUUGGUCCUAUGACUAUUGAGCUCUUAUUAAUUUCAGUACUCGACAUUAAAAACUAACAAUUUAGUCCCAUAACUAUGCAAUUUUUAGCACAUUUAGUCCUUCCGGUCAAAUGUUGCCGGAAAAACGUAAAUAUUUUUAAAUUGU